CAGUAGCCGCGGUAAUACAGAGGAUGCAAGCGUUAUCCGGAAUGAUUGGGCGUAAAGCGUCUGUAGGUGGCUUUUCAAGUCCGCCGUCAAAUCCCAGGGCUCAACCCUGGACAGGCGGUGGAAACUACCAAGCUGGAGCACGGUAGGGGCAGAGGGAAUUUCCAGUGGAGCGGUGAAAUGCGUUGAGAUCGAAAAGAACACCAACAGCGAAAGCACUCUGCUGGGCCGACACUGACACUGAGAGACGAAAGCUAGGGGAGCAAAUGGGAUUAGAUACCCCCGUAGUCCCUGUCUCUUAUAC
rnacentral:rRNA from 1 species